rnacentral:rRNA from 1 species
GAGUAACACGUGACCAACCUGUCCCAGGGCGGGGGACAACCGGGGGAAACCCUGGCUAAUACCGCAUGAUGUCCGGACUUCUCAUGGAGACCGGAUCAAAGAGGGCCUCUGCUUGCAAGCUCUCACCCAGGGAGGGGGUCGCGACGUAUCAGCUAGUUGGUGGGGUAACGGCCUACCAAGGCUACGACGCGUAGCGGGUCUGAGAGGACGACCCGUCACAUUGGGACUGAGAUACGGCCCAG